GUCUCGGUAGCUCAGUUGGUAAAGUAGCGGGCUGGUAUCGCGCAGUCGCGAGUUCGAGUCUCGCCCGAGACA